rnacentral:sRNA from 1 species
UGAUUGCCAAGCUUUGCCAAUACAGGGUAAGCAAAUCCUUGGUAAUUCCUGCUUCACAUAAGGUUUGUCAGAUACUUUGAACAAGAGGGCUGAAGACAGUGCUCCAAUGUCUUAGAAUACUUUGAAGUGGUCUCGACAGCCAACUGUCUGCCAUUUUUAAAACUUUGAAAGUGUUUGUCUGCACUUCCUACUUAAUCAGGAAAUAUUUCUUCUUAGUUGUCUUUUGGGGUUGAAUA